CCUUUUCCCCCGUCUGGAAGUGAGAUGUUUGUGAGUGCUGAGAUUUACCAGUGUGAUGUAACUGGUUCAUUCAUCAUAACAGCUGAACAGAAGGGAUCUGUCACAGCAGAGCCCAUCCGGGCUGUGGAAUUACACUGAUGUACUCGGUCAUGUUAUGUUCUGUCAAUCUGAUAUCCUGGAUGAGUGCUUCAUAAGAGCAAAGUUCACGUCCAUUUUGUAUGAUACACCAUAAAUGGAAUAAUGGAUUACCUCCCUGGAGGCGAGGAUGGGAAGAUAUACCAGCAACUCCAUAAAACCCUAGAGUCUAGUAUCAUGCAACCCACUGCAUUAUGGAGAGGUGGCAUCUGAUCCUUACCAUGUCACGCUGUGGGUGUUGGGGUAUGGGGAGCUGACAAACAAUACUGAUGUGUCUGCUUUUUUUGUUUUUUGGCUGUGAAUAAUAAAUUGAU